rnacentral:rRNA from 1 species
GACGAACGCUGGCGGCGUGCUUAACACAUGCAAGUCGAACGGAAAGGCCCUGCUUUUGUGGGGUGCUCGAGUGGCGAACGGGUGAGUAACACGUGAGUAACCUGCCCUUGACUUUGGGAUAACUUCAGGAAACUGGGGCUAAUACCGGAUAGGAGCUCCUGCUGCAUGGUGGGGGUUGGAAAGUUUCGGCGGUUGGGGAUGGACUCGCGGCUUAUCAGCUCGUUGGUGGGGUAGUGGCCUACCAAGGCUUUGACGGGUAGCCGGCCUGAGAGGGUGACCGGCCACAUUGGGACUGAGAUACGGCCCAGACUCCUACGGGAGGCAGCAGUGGGGAAUAUUGCACAAUGGGCGGAAGCCUGAUGCAGCAACGCCGCGUGCGGGAUGACGGCCUUCGGGUUGUAAACCGCUUUCGCCUGUGACGAAGCGUGAGUGACGGUAAUGGGUAAAGAAGCACCGGCUAACUACGUGCCAGCAGCCGCGGUGAUACGUAGGGUGCGAGCGUUGUCCGGAUUUAUUGGGCGUAAAGGGCUCGUAGGUGGUUGAUCGCGUCGGAAGUGUAGUCUUGGGGCUUAACCCUGAGCGUGCUUUCGAUACGGGUUGACUUGAGGAAGGUAGGGGAGAAUGGAAUUCCUGGUGGAGCGGUGGAAUGCGCAGAUAUCAGGAGGAACACCAGUGGCGAAGGCGGUUCUCUGGGCCUUUCCUGACGCUGAGGAGCGAAAGCGUGGGGAGCGAACAGGCUUAGAUACCCUGGUAGUCCACGCUGUAAACGGUGGGUACUAGGUGUGGGGUCCAUUCCACGGGUUCCGUGCCGUAGCUAACGCUUUAAGUACCCCGCCUGGGGAGUACGGCCGCAAGGCUAAAACUCAAAGGAAUUGACGGGGCCCCGCACAAGCGGCGGAGCAUGCGGAUUAAUUCGAUGCAACGCGUAGAACCUUACCUGGGUUUGACAUGGAUCGGGAGUGCUCAGAGAUGGGUGUGCCUCUUUUGGGGUCGGUUCACAGGUGGUGCAUGGCUGUCGUCAGCUCGUGUCGUGAGAUGUUGGGUUAAGUCCCGCAACGAGCGCAACCCUUGUUCACUGUUGCCAGCACGUUAUGGUGGGGACUCAGUGGAGACCGCCGGGGUCAACUCGGAGGAAGGUGGGGAUGACGUCAAGUCAUCAUGCCCCUUAUGUCCAGGGCUUCACGCAUGCUACAAUGGCUGGUACAGAGAGUGGCGAGCCUGUGAGGGUGAGCGAAUCUCGGAAAGCCGGUCUCAGUUCGGAUUGGGGUCUGCAACUCGACCUCAUGAAGUCGGAGUCGCUAGUAAUCGCAGAUCAGCAACGCUGCGGUGAAUACGUUCCCGGG